UACGUAGGGGGCGAGCGUUGUCCGGAAUCAUUGGGCGUAAAGAGCGUGUAGGCGGCUUGGCAAGUCUGACGUGAAAGCCCGCGGCUCAACCGCGGAUUGUCGUUGGAAACUGCCUCGCUAGAGUCCGGAAGAGGAGAGCGGAAUUCCUGGUGUAGCGGUGGAAUGCGCAGAUAUCGAGGAAGAACACCCGUGGCGAAGGCGGCUCUCUGGGACGGUACUGACGCUGAGACGCGAAAGCGUGGGGAGCGAACAGG
rnacentral:rRNA from 1 species